GUGGGGAAUCUUGCGCAAUGGGCGAAAGCCUGACGCAGCCAUGCCGCGUGAAUGAUGAAGGUCUUAGGAUUGUAAAAUUCUUUCACCGGGGACGAUAAUGACGGUACCCGGAGAAGAAGCUCCGGCUAACUUCGUGCCAGCAGCCGCGGUAAUACGAAGGGGGCUAGCGUUGCUCGGAAUUACUGGGCGUAAAGGGCGCGUAGGCGGACAGCUUAGUCAGAGGUGAAAGCCCAGGGCUCAACCUUGGAAUUGCCUUUGAUACUGGCUGUCUUGAGUUUGGGAGAGGUGAGUGGAACUCCGAGUGUAGAGGUGAAAUUCGUAGAUAUUCGGAAGAACACCAGUGUCGAAGGCGACUCACUGGCCCAAUACUGACGCUGAGGCGCGAAAGCGUGGGGAGCAAACAGGAUUAGAUACCCGGGUAGUCC
rnacentral:rRNA from 1 species